GCUGGGCAUGGUGGCGCAUGCCUGUAAUCCCAGCUACUCGGGAGGCUGAGGCAGGAGAAUCACUUGAACUCAGGAGGCGGAGGUUGCAGUGAGCCGAGAUGGCACCACUGCACUCCAGCCUGGGUGACAGAGUGAGACUCUGUCUCGA
ensembl:misc_RNA Metazoa_SRP Metazoan signal recognition particle RNA